ACUGCUCAGUAACACGUGGAUAACCUGCCCUGCGGUGGGAAAUAACCCCGGGAAACUGGGGAUAAUGUCCCAUAGGCUACAGAUGCUGGAAUGCUCUGUAACUCAAAGAUUUAUCGCCACAGGAUGGGUCUGCGGCCGAUUAGGUAGUUGUUGGGGUAACGGCCCAACAAGCCUUUGAUCGGUACGGGUUGUGGGAGCAAGAGCCCGGAGAUGGAUUCUGAGACACGAAUCCAGGCCCUACGGGGCGCAGCAGGCGCGAAAACUUUACAAUGCGGGAAACCGUGAUAAGGGAACUCCGAGUGUCCGUAAAUGCGGACUGUCCGUAUGUCUAAAAAGCAUGCGAAGAAAGGGCCGGGCAAGACCGGUGCCAGCCGCCGCGGUAAUACCGGCGGCUCGAGUGGUGGCCACUAUUAUUGGGCUUAAAGCGUUCGUAGCUGGAUCGUUAAGUCUCUUGGGAAAUCUACCGGCUUAACCGAUAGGCGUCCAAGGGAUACUGGCGAUCUAGGGACCGGGAGAGGUGAGGGGUACUUCAGGGGUAGGAGUGAAAUCCUGUAAUCCUUGGGGGACCACCUGUGGCGAAGGCGCCUCACCAGAACGGCUCCGACAGUGAGGGACGAAAGCUGGGGGAGCAAACCGGAUUAGAUACCCGGGUAGUCCCAGCCGUAAACGAUGCGCGUUAGGUGUAUCGAUGACCACGAGUCAUCGAGGUGCCGAAGGGAAACCGUGAAACGCGCCGCCUGGGAAGUACGGUCGCAAGGCUGAAACUUAAAGGAAUUGGCGGGGGAGCA
rnacentral:rRNA from 1 species